rnacentral:rRNA from 1 species
ACUCAAAGGAAUAGACGGGGGCCCGCACAAGCGGAGGAACAUGUGGUUUAAUUCGAUGAUACGCGAGGAACCUUACCCGGGCUCGAACGGCUAAUGAAUAUUGAUCAAAGUCAAUAGUCGCAAGACAUUAGUCGAGGUGCUGCAUGGUUGUCGUCAGCUCGUGCCGUGAGGUGUCGGCUUAAGUGCCAUAACGAGCGCAACCCUUACCGAUAGUUACCAGCGUGUCAAGAUGGGGACUCUAUCGGGACUGCCACCGUAAGGUGUGAGGAAGGUGGGGAUGACGUCAAAUCAGCACGGCCCUUACGUCCGGGGCUACACACGUGUUACAAUGGGGGGGACAGAAGGCUGCUACCCGGCGACGGGAUGCCAAUCCCUAAACCCUCUCCCAGUUCGGAUUGGAGUCUGCAACCCGACUCCAUGAAGCCGGAUUCGCUAGUAAUCGCGCAUCAGCCAUGGCGCGGUGAAUACGUUCCCGGGCCUUGUACACACCGCCCGU